CGACGGGUGAGUACACUUGGGCAAUCUGCCCUGCACUCUGGGACAAGCCCUGGAAACGGGGUCUAAUACCGGAUAACACUCCUGCCCGCAUGGGUAGGUGUUGAAAGCUCCGGCGGUGCAGGAUGAGCCCGCGGCCUAUCAGCUUGUUGGUGAGGUAGUGGCUCACCAAGGCGACAACGGGUAGCCGGCCUGAAAGGGCGACCGGCCACACUGGGACUGAGACACGGCCCAAACUCCUACGGGAGGCAGCAGUGGGGAAUAUUGCACAAUGGGCGCAAGCCUGAUGCACCGACGCCGCGUGAGGGAUGACGGCCUUCGGGUUGUAAACCUCUUUCAGCAGGGAAAAAGCGCAAGUGACGGUACCUGCAAAAAAAGCGCCGGCUAACUACGUGCCAGCAGCCGAGGUUAAUACG
rnacentral:rRNA from 1 species